rnacentral:snRNA from 1 species
AUCGCUUCUUGGCCUUUUGGCUAAGAUCAAGUGUAGUAUCUGUUCUUAUCAGUAAAAGAUCCACUUAUAUCCCACAUCAGUUUGCCUAAUAUUCCUUUUUCUAAGGGGAGGAAGCACAGAAUACCCAGACCGGGGUGAACACUU